AUUGAACGCUGGCGGCAUGCCUUACACAUGCAAGUCGAACGGCAGCAUGGAGAGCUUGCUCUCUGAUGGCGAGUGGCGAACGGGUGAGUAAUGCAUCGGAACGUACCGUGUAAUGGGGGAUAACGUAGCGAAAGUUACGCUAAUACCGCAUACGACCUGAGGGUGAAAGCAGGGGAUCGCAAGACCUUGCGUUAUACGAGCGGCCGAUGUCAGAUUAGCUAGCUGGUGAGGUAAAGGCUCACCAAGGCGACGAUCUGUAGCGGGUCUGAGAGGAUGAUCCGCAACACUGGGACUGAGACACGGCCCAGACUCCGACGGGAGGCAGCAGUGGGGAAUUUUGGACAAUGGGGGCAACCCUGAUCCAGCCAUGCCGCGUGUGUGAAGAAGGCCUUCGGGUUGUAAAGCUAUUUCGGCCGGGAAGAAAUCGCACAGGCUAAUACUCUGUGUGGAUGACGGUACCGGCAUAAGAAGCACCGGCUAACUACGUGCCAGCCGCCGCGGUAA
rnacentral:rRNA from 1 species